ACGCACGCUGGCGGCGUGCUUAACACAUGCAAGUCGAACGGAAAGGCCCAGCUUGCUGGGUGCUCGAGUGGCGAACGGGUGAGUAACACGUGGGUGAUCUGCCCCUAACUUCGGGAUAAGCUUGGGAAACUGGGUCUAAUACCGGAUAGGACAAUCGUUUAGUGUCGGUUGUGGAAAGUUUUUUCGGUUAGGGAUGAGCCCGCGGCCUAUCAGCUUGUUGGUGGGGUAAUGGCCUACCAAGGCGUCGACGGGUAGCCGGCCUGAGAGGGUGGACGGCCACAUUGGGACUGAGAUACGGCCCAGACUCCUACGGGAGGCAGCAGUGGGGAAUAUUGCACAAUGGGCGCAAGCCUGAUGCAGCGACGCCGCGUGGGGGAUGACGGCCUUCGGGUUGUAAACCUCUUUCGACAGGGACGAAGCUUUGGUGACGGUACCUGUAUAAGAAGCACCGGCUAACUACGUG
rnacentral:rRNA from 1 species